rnacentral:rRNA from 1 species
AAUGGGCGAGAGCCUGAACCAGCCAUGUCGCGUGCAGGAUGACGGCCCUACGGGUUGUAAACUGCUUUUGUACGGGAAGAAAAAACGCCACGUGUGGUGUCUUGCCGGUACCGUACGAAUAAGGAUCGGCUAACUCCGUGCCAGCAGCCGCGGUAAUACGGAGGAUCCGAGCGUUAUCCGGAUUUAUUGGGUUCAAAGGGUGCGUAGGCGGGAGAUUAAGUCAGUGGUGAAAGUUUGCGGCUCAACCGUAAAAUUGCCAUUGAUACUGGUUUUCUUGAGUACAGUUGAGGUAGGCGGAAUGUGGUGUGUAGCGGUGAAAUGCAUAGAUAUACCACAGAACACCGAUUGCGAAGGCAGCUUACUAAAGUGUAACUGACGCUGAUGCACGAAAGCGUGGGGAUCAAA